AAAAACGCUAACCAAAAUCCUUCUUACUUCUCAAAGCUUUGAUAGUGUAGUCGAAGUCUUUAUGAGUUUUUGGUUUUGGAUCUUCUAACAGGAAAACACUACUUUCGCUUAUGAAUCAGGUUAAGGUUCUAGUUCUUAUACUCAAUCAUACACACGACAUAUAGUCAUAUUUGACUCCAAAAACACUAACAAAACUUCUUCUUGCUUCUCAAAGCAUUAAUGGUGUAGUCGAAGUCCUUAUGAGUUUUAGGUUUUGAAU
rnacentral:sRNA from 1 species